CCUAGUAAGCGUGAGUCAUCAGCUCGCGUUGAUUACGUCCCUGCCCUUUGUACACACCGCCCGUCGCUACUACCGAUUGAAUGGCUUAGUGAGACCCUCGGAUUGUAGAUUGUACUGUUGGCAACAACAUACGGUUCGCGAGAAGUUGGUCAAACUUGGUCAUUUAGAGGAAGUAAAAGUCGUAACAAGGUUUCCGUAGGUGAACCUGCGGAAGGAUCAUUAAAAAAGGGUCGCAAGACCCAUUUUAAAACCUACCACCACCUAUCAUUUGUAGCCUGUCUAUGGGUGAGAUGGAGGAGGUAAUGGUUUUUUAAAAUCCAAUUAUUACAAAUAUAUAUCGUCUAACAGCGAAAUAAAAAAAUUUCUAAAAACUUCCAACAAUGGAUCUCUUGGCUCUCGCAUCGAUGAAGAACGCAGCGAAUUGCGAUAAGUAGUAUGAAUUGCAAAUUCUGUGAAUCAUCGAAUCUUUGAACGCAUAUUGCACUCUCUGGUAUUCCGGAGAGUAUGCCUGUUUGAGGGUAACUAAAAAGAAAUCCUUAUUCUUUUACAGACUAAGGGAUAUGGGUAUUCCGUGUAUAUUCACGGUUACUUAAAAUAUAUGGUUAGUCUUCAUCUAGUCGAGACGCGUAAUAGUGUUAUUUCGCGAAACGUUGAUGAACUCUACCAAGUUUUAAUGCUUCUAAUAUAGGUUAGAGGUAUUUAAAACAAUAUAUAUUUUGACAUUACCUCAAAUCAGGUAGGAAUACCCGCUGAACUUAAGCAUAUCAAUAAGCGGAGGAAAAGAAACUAACCAGGAUUCCCCUAGUAACGGCGAGUGAAGCGGGAAAAGCUCAAAUUUUAAAUCUGGCUGGCGUGGUCAGUCCGAGUUGUAGUUUGAAGAAACGGUUAUCGCGCUGUUUGUCGAGUCUAAGUUCCUUGGAAUAGGACAUCAAAGAGGGUGAGAAUCCCGUCUAGACUCUCACGAAUAGUAUAUGUUAACGUUUCUAAGAGUCGAGUUGUUUGGGAUUGCAGCUCUAAUUGGGUGGUAAAUUCCAUCUAAGGCUAAAUACAGACGAGAGACCGAUAGCGAACAAGUACCGUGAGGGAAAGAUGAAAAGAACUUUGAAAAGAGAGUUAAAUAGUACGUGAAAUUGUUGAAAGGGAAACGAUUAAAGUCAGUCAUGCCGGUGGGAAAUCAGCUUACAAGUUAUUGUGAGUGCACUUUCUCGCAAGGCAGGUUAGCAUCGGUUUUGGUUGCGUUAAAAUGAUUGCAAGAAGGUAGCUCUCUCGGGAGUGUUAUAGCUUGCUUUAGAUGACGUAGCUAAGACCGAGGAUUGCAGCGAAUGCUUUUGGCUACGGAUCUGGUCUCUGUCGACGAUCAAUUGGCCGUGAGCUUGCUCACGUACGGUUGAUUUGUUUACAACAGGUUAGAAUCCGAUAAAUUCGCUAAGGAUGCUGACGUAAUGGCUUUAAACGACCCGUCUUGAAACACGGACCAAGGAG
rnacentral:rRNA from 1 species